GGACAGAAAGACCCUAUGAAGCUUUACUGUAGUUUGGAAUUGGGUUUGGGCUCUUCUUGCGCAGCCUAGGUGGGAGGCUAUGAAGAUAAACUUUUGGGUUUAUUGGAGCCAACAGUGAGAGACCACUCUAGAGGAGCUAGAAUUUUAAUGGCGUUCCUUGAAGCAGGACGCUUGACAGUUUCAGAUGGGCAGUUUGACUGGGGCGGUCACCUCCUAAAAGGUAACGGAGGUGUGCAAAGGUUCCCUCAGGCUGGACGGAAAUCAGCCGUAGAGUGUAAAGGCAGAAGGGAGCUUGACUGCAAGACCUACAAGUCGAGCAGGGGCGAAAGCCGGUCUUAGUGAUCCGACGGUUCCGAGUGGAAGGGCCGUCGCUAAACGGAUAAAAGUUACUCUAGGGAUAACAGGCUGA
rnacentral:rRNA from 1 species